rnacentral:tRNA from 1 species
GUUGCCGUGGCCGAGUGGUUAAGGCGAAAGACUUGAAAUCUUUUGGGAUCUUUCCGCGCAGAUUCGAACCCUGCCGACAACG